CAAGACUUGCCCAUAAUUCAGAAUAGCUCUCCACUGCCUCAGCUCAAUUCAAACAUCUCAAAGAGUGACAAGCUGACCUGAAAGAUUUAUAUAACAACGGAGUGAGCUAAAAACAGCUCAGCAAGUAACAAAGCAUAUUCAGAACAAAAGGAACGGUUUCAAACAAGCAAGAUAUCAUAAUGCAAGGCAGAAUACAAGAAUUCUCAAGGAUACCAUCUCAUUAGAUACAAAAUCAUAUGUGUCAUGUCAUUCAAAACAUAUUUGGUUUAUAACCAAUGGAGCAUAGAGUAAUUGGAGCAUAUCAAUAGCGUACGAGAUGUUCCGGAGCAUAUCAAUGACAAAUGGAACAUUUCGGAACAUAUCAAUGGUAUGCGAAGCAUUUUGAUGUAUAUCAAUGGCAUAAGAAACAUUUUGGAGCAUAUCAAUACAAAAUACGAAACAGAAGCUCAGACGUCGUACCCUAGCAUAGUGCAUGUGAGGUUUAACUCAGUGGUGGCUCCACGCCGUUAUGAGUUCUCGACUCCAUCCACGGGUAGCCCUUUCCUACUCGGGCCCACUGACCCUGCCCAAGUGCUAGGUCGGCUCUGAAUUUUAUAUCAAACAGAUAGAAGGUGAAGUGGGAUUCCAAACAUAAUAUGAUGGUCUAUCCAUUUCUGAAUGACCACCAAACAUAAUCUAGAGCAUCGUUGGCUCUAAGCACAUACCCUUUACCAUUUCUAGCAAAGGUCCAAAUAAUCCCACAAACACCAAAGUACAAAAGGGUAUUGUGAACAAUAAAUUGGGACAUAUCGGAAGCACAUGCGGAACAACGAAAUGUACAUGUGCCUUUAUGAAACAUUACGAUACAAACAUGAAGUUUACAUAACAGAUUUAGGUAUCCAAAAACAUGUAGGACAAGAGCAUACAAGAAUUCAAAGCAGUAAUAUAAAGCUCAAUUGAAUAAAAAAGCUAAAGGAUAUCAAUUUUCAAAAGAAUGAAACCAGAAUAUGAGAAAUCGACCAAAGCUCGAUUUCUGGCAGAAUACAAGAGGCACAUUGAACAAAUGAAUCAAACUAUCAAUCGUGCUCUAAUUUUACUCAGAAAAGCUAUCAAAAGAAUGGUUUAUGAGUCUAUAUUCUGAUCAAAUAAUUUUUGUCCAAAUCAGAGGUCAAUACAUGAAGUUAUAAUCAUAACAAGGUAGAAAGGUCAGAAUCUCAGAAGUUGCACAGAUUCAAAUCAUUACAUCUAAAUAGGAGAUAUAUCAAAUACAAGGCUAGAACAAUUCAAUGUUCCUCAUAUUCAAAGCAAAUGUAGAGAUAAAAUUGCAGUAAGGAAAGAUCAGGACACUUGCAAAUGGAAAGAUUAGAACAAUAACAGGAGAAACGAUCGGGAAACUUGCCUUUCAAUGAUUUUGAUCUGAAGAUCCAAAGAAGGUGCCAGCCCAAAUCCUUCUACUUUUCCUCCGUGUCCUCUCUCUGAUUCGUUUUGUGCUCUCAUUUUCUUUCUUUCUUCGCAACUACACCACGUGCCGAAUAUCGAGGCACAGUCACUUGCUCUCUCUUACUCUCAUUCCUUCUUUUUUCUUUUCCAAACGCAGCUGCCACAACCACCACCGCUGCUGCCGCCACAGUCGCUACCCCUUCCACCGCACUGCCUUCUUCCUCCCCUUCUUUCGCAGACACAGCUACUGCAUACGCAGUCUCAGCCGCUACGGCCGCAAUCCCGUCCGUAGCCCCUUUUUUCCCCCUUUCCUUUCCUUUCUUUCCCAGCUGCAACUGCCGCAGUCGCAGUCGCAGUCGCAGCCAUGGCCGCAGCCACCACAACCGCAGCCUCUUCUUCCU
rnacentral:lncRNA from 1 species